AAAAACUGAGGAGAGCAGUUAAAACACGAUCCACCUACAAGAGGGAAACAUACUUUGUCAGGGAAGCUGUGUACCAGUUAUUCUCAAGCCAGAUGCUGCAGGGUUGCUAUAAGAGGUGGUUUUUUUCCAUUUGGAAGCGGCUGUUCCUUCCUUCUUGCUGGAAGCCACCUGACCACUGCCAGGAAGAGGAAUGCAAAACAUUCCCAGGAGCAGCUCCUGACGUCAGGGAGGCAGCAUUCCUCCUCCUCCUCCUCCUCCUCCUCCCCGCCACGGCCCACCACCACCGCCCCGGCGCACAGAGUCCAGGCCCUGGCCCAGCGGCGCGGUGCCGCCGGCAGCUGCCGCCUGCCCUGAGUCACGCCGUGAGCUCCUCGCCAUUUAAAGCUAGAGACGGCGACGGCAGCCAUCAAGGUCUUGGUCCUGCAGAAAUGGUGUUUAUCUAAGAGAUUGUCUAUCGCUCCUGCUGUUUACUUGCUUUCCCCAGGCGUACAGAGCUUAAAUAAACUUAGGAACGGGCGAUGGUGCCCAAGCCAGGCAUUGUUAUGUUAACUCAAGCCACUCUAUGCUCCCCUUCUUCUUGCCCUUAAAUAGGAGUUUCUGCUUUGGAUAAACUUCAGGUCCAUG